GAUAACUUCGGGAAACCGGAGCUAAUACCGGAUAAUAUAUUGAACCGCAUGGUUCAAUAGUGAAAGACGGUUUUGCUGUCACUUAUAGAUGGAUCCGCGCCGCAUUAGCUAGUUGGUAAGGUAACGGCUUACCAAGGCAACGAUGCGUUGCCGACCCGAGAGGGUGAUCGGCCACACUGGAACUGAGACACGGUCCAGACUCCUACGGGAGGCAGCAGUAGGGAAUCUUCCGCAAUGGGCGAGAGCCUGUCGGAGCAACGCCGCGUGAGUGAUGAAGGUCUUCGGAUCGUAAAACUCUGUUAUUAGGGAAGAAUAAAUGUGUAAGUAACUAUGCACGUUUUGACGGUACCUAAUCAGAAAGCCACGGCUAACUACGUGCCAGCAGCCGCGGUAAUACGUAGGUGGCAAGCGUUAUCCGGAAUUAUUGGGCGUAAAGCGCGCGUAGGCGGUUUUUUAAGUCUGAUGUGAAAGCCCACGGCUCAACCGUGGAGGGUCAUUGGAAACUGGAAAACUUGAGUGCAGAAGAGGAAAGUGGAAUUCCAUGUGUAGCGGUGAAAUGCGCAGAGAUAUGGAGGAACACCAGUGGCGAAGGCGACUUUCUGGUCUGUAACUGACGCUGAUGUGCGAAAGCGUGGGGAUCAAACAGGAUUAGAUACCCUGGUAGUCCACGC
rnacentral:rRNA from 1 species